AGAGUUUGAUCCUGGCUCAGGAUGAACGCUGGCGGUCUGCUUAACACAUGCAAGUCGAACGCACCUUUCGGGGUGAGUGGCGGACGGGUGAGUAACGCGUGAGAAUCUGCCUAGAGGUCGGGGACAACCACUGGAAACGGUGGCUAAUACCGGAUGAGCCGAAAAGUAAAAAGGGAAACCUGCCUUUUGAAGAGCUCGCGUCUGAUUAGCUAGUUGGUGAGGUAAGAGCUCACCAAGGCAUCGAUCAGUAGCUGGUCUGAGAGGAUGAUCAGCCACACUGGGACUGAGACACGGCCCAGACUCCUACGGGAGGCAGCAGUGGGGAAUUUUCCGCAAUGGGCGAAAGCCUGACGGAGCAAGACCGCGUGAGGGAGGAAGGCUCUUGGGUUGUAAACCUCUUUUGUCAGGGAAGAACACAAUGACGGUACCUGAAGAAUCAGCAUCGGCUAACUCCGUGCCAGCAGCCGCGGUAAUACGGGGGAUGCAAGCGUUAUCCGGAAUUAUUGGGCGUAAAGCGUCCGCAGGUGGCUAAUCAAGUCUGCUGUCAAAGGUUGGGGCUUAACCCCAAAAAGGCAGUGGAAACUGAGAAGCUAGAGUGCAGUAGGGGUAGAGGGAAUUCCCGGUGUAGCGGUGAAAUGCGUAGAGAUCGGGAAGAACAUCGGUGGCGAAAGCGCUCUACUGGACUGCAACUGACACUCAGGGACGAAAGCUAGGGGAGCGAAUGGGAUUAGAUACCCCAGUAGUCC
rnacentral:rRNA from 1 species